AAGAUUGUUCUGGUAUUGUGGACAAUGUUCCAAAAGCGAAAAGUGGAGUUUACUGGAUUCAGACACGAAAUGGUCCGCAAAAGUCAUGGUGCGAUGUUGAAACAGACGGUGGAGGAUUCUUGUUGAUUGGCGUCAAAGACACACCAGAAACCUGGGCUAUUCCUUCCAACGCUUCUUUCAUCCACCCCCACGGUAAGCCAAGGUGGUCAAGUGCAUUUGGUGAGCAAGAAAUCUUGGAUUUCCGAGUUCAAAUUUCCAUGUCAGAAGAUUUUCGCGAUACACGAGCACACUGGUAUUAUCGUUUCAAAUCCCCC